CAAAUUUGCGACCCCGAAUCACGCGCAGACACAAACGGAACCAAUACCCGAACAGGCCCGCCGUGAACUGAGACGGGACAGCGUAGAUCACACGCGGCCAGCAAGGGAGCGCAGGGGCGGGUGCCCUCACCGGGGAGCGGGGCCCUCGGGGGAGGAGGCGCGGCGGGCCAGCGGGGCCGCGAGCUCGCCGGAACCCUAGCUGGGUCCGGCGGCGGCGGCGGCGGCGAGGAAGCGCUUGGGCGGCGCGGGGUUUGAGGAGGAGACAGAGGAAGGGGCAGAGGGCAGGCAGUGGGGGAGUUGAGUUGUGGCGCUUGCGUUGCGCUUCGUGAUUAUCGUGGUGCGGGGAUUCCUUCUAGUCCAGUCCCGUCCAGUUGCUCGGUUUGCAUUGCCGCCUUUAUUAUACGGAGAAAGAAAGAGAGAGAGGGGAGUGGAAUAAAAAUGGGUGGAAGCAAUUCAAAGACCCAAGUACAUCGAGGCAGCUUGCCUGCCCAUAGGGGCCCAUGGGAGGGAACCGGCCCGCCCAGGGCCAGGGGCUCGUUCUU
rnacentral:lncRNA from 1 species